UUUUUACUUCAUUUUUGUUUUAGUUUAGUACCUAUGUUUUCUUCUGUAUAAUUUAUUGUUUCAGAUUUUUUAUUUAGGUCUUUGAUUCAUUUUGAAUUAAUUUUUCUACAUGGAGACAAACUGUAAUCUAGAUUCCUUCUUUUGCAUGUAGCUUUCCAAUUUUUCCAGCACCAUUUUUGAAAAGUUUUUUUU